CCGUCUGCGUCUGCCUGGUCGCGGCAAUGCCCUCCGCUGGGCCCCUCCCCGAAUCCCUCCCCAUCCUCUCCCGCGCCGUCGCUGGUUGUUCCAACCACAACUCCGUCGGAGGUACUCGAUGCCGUCACUCUCUCUCUCUCAGUUUCUCUUUUCUGUUUGUUCUGUAGAUCUUUAACCUACAUGGCCACAUAGAAAGACGCCUCCUUUGGGUCCUGGGAAGCCUAUUUCCAUACAGGUUUCUCUUUUAAUGUGCUUUUGUAUAAGUUUCGUGGAUUUGCAAUCUAUAAUUGUCUUUUG
rnacentral:lncRNA from 1 species